rnacentral:rRNA from 1 species
GACGAACGCUGGCGGCGUGCUUAACACAUGCAAGUCGAGCGGUAAGGCCCUUCGGGGUACACGAGCGGCGAACGGGUGAGUAACACGUGGGUGAUCUGCCUUGCACUCUGGGAUAAGCCUGGGAAACUGGGUCUAAUACCGGAUAUGACCUGCAGUUGCAUGACUGUGGGUGGAAAGAUUUAUCGGUGCAAGAUGAGCCCGCGGCCUAUCAGCUUGUUGGUGGGGUAAUGGCCUACCAAGGCGACGACGGGUAGCCGGCCUGAGAGGGCGACCGGCCACACUGGGACUGAGACACGGCCCAGACUCCUACGGGAGGCAGCAGUGGGGAAUAUUGCACAAUGGGCGGAAGCCUGAUGCAGCGACGCCGCGUGAGGGAUGACGGCCUUCGGGUUGUAAACCUCUUUCGACUCCGACGAAGCGAAAGUGACGGUAGGAGUAUAAGAAGCACCGGCCAACUACGUG